CUACGGGAUGCUGCAGUGAGGAAUAUUGCGCAAUGGGGGAAACCCUGACGCAGCGACGCCGCGUGGAUGAUGAAGGCCUUAGGGUCGUAAAAUCCUGUCAGGUGGGAAGAAGUGGAUAUAGAUUAAUACUCUAUUUCUUUGACGGUACCACCAAAGGAAGCACCGGCUAACUCCGUGCCAGCAGCCGCGGUAAUACGGAGGGUGCAAACGUUGUUCGGAAUUACUGGGCGUAAAGCGCGCGUAGGCGGUUUGUUAAGUCAGAUGUGAAAGGCCAUGGCUCAACUAGGGAAGUGCAUUUGAAACUGGCAGACUUGAGUACUGGAGAGGGUGAUGGAAUUCCCGGUGUAGCGGUGAAAUUCGUAGAGAUCGGGAGGAAUACCGGUGGCGAAGGCGAUCACCUGGCCAGAUACUGACGCUGAGGUGCGAAAGCGUGGGGAGCAAACAGGAUUAGAUACCCGGGUAGUC
rnacentral:rRNA from 1 species